UGGAAGGUAUGAAUACCACUCAAUGUAGUAAAAGGAGGGAUGACCUCUUACAGAGUUCGUUACAGGGAUUCGCUCUGGAAAAAGUUUGGAGAGGGUUUGGAGGAGGCUGACCCAGCACCGAGCACUGACCAAGAGAUCACUCCAUGAAUCUUCAUUCCUCACCUGGAGGAUAAGGAUGAGAACUCCUGUAUGACCAGCCCUGCACAGCACCAUGUGCUCUUCCAGCCUUCCAGCUCAAAUUGGGUGACGUACAAACACACCUAUCUUCCUUUUUUCAGUAAUUAAUCCAAGAGAAGUAACCAUUCAGAGCAGCAAACUGAGCACGCCAUGAUGUUCUAAUGACAGUGAACAAGACUGGUGGAUCACAGACACCACCGCUCACCAGAUUCCAGCAGGAGGGGGUUUCCUCUGCAUCCCCAGCCUAAAAAGAAUUGAAGCGUGUUUAAGGAAAAUCCUCUAGCAGCACAACCACCACAUCACGCCUUCUGGGGACUGGGACACCGGAAUAUCCAGCCUUUAGCUUGCCAUCACAGCGGCCCUGGUGUUUGCAGAGAGUACAGUACUCCUCCCUCUUAAACAACACCACAGACUCUUGCAGGAUUGCAGAGAAGCCUUUUUAUGACCCGAUAAAAGGCAUUUUGAAGACUCUGCCUAAGCAAUGUGGGAUGUCCAGACUGUGACCCGUUGCUCACAUCACAGGAUCACUUCAGCUGGAGAAGACACAUAAGAUCACCAAGUCUAACCACCACCUAACACU
rnacentral:lncRNA from 1 species